rnacentral:lncRNA from 1 species
CAGGAUGGCAGGUGAUUAUAAGCAGAUGAGUAUAUUGAUGCAGAUGAUAAGUCCAUGAACAUAAACUGGAUAUUUGACUGUGCUGGCUUGGAGACUGGAGACAGAUACCACAGUUGGCAAACAGGACGAAGACCAGAUGAGGAACCAGGAGACACCACACUAGGAGAGACAUGGAAGACGCAAUUCGGAAGGGACCACUUGGAGGAAAAAAAGGAAUCACACACCUCAGCAACCACUGGAUGGUCAGGAAUUUAUUUAAAAAAAAUCAGAUGCAUGGGUAAAUCGAUAGAUGUUCUUCCAAGAUGAAGAAGUGGUGGUUGGUAUAGGUAAUAAUUAACCUUGCCUGUGUCAGAUUUUCUUUUUAGCUAAUGGAGAGAGAGAGCAGGCAGAAGAGAAAGAUUCACAAGAGCAUUGGUGGACAUUUCUCUAAAAAAUUAUGAAGAAAAGCAGAUAGGGCUUUGUCAGUACUGUCUAUACAUUCCUAUACUAUGCUGUUGAGUGUACAAGUGCAUAAGUACAUAGUGUAUAAGUUCAUAAUGUAUAGUGUUUGUCUUUUGCAGGUUGGAGGGGAACAGAAGGAGACUCACAGGGGCCAGGAUGGAUAUGUAUUUGAAGACCAGGAGCUCAGGAAACAGGUAAAAUGGCUUGAACCAACUGAACAAUGGAGUUAGUUUUCAAAAAUUCUAUUAAGAUUAAAUAAAGACGACAUCUUUCUAUUGUAUUUUGCAGAUCGCACUGGACCACAUAGAGAAAAAAGGAAUCACACACCUCAGCAACGACUGGAUGGUUAGGAAUUUAUUUUUUAAAAAUCAGAUGGAUGAUUGAAUUGAUGGAUGUUCUUCCAAGAUGAAGGAGUGGUGGUUGGUAUAGGUAGUAAUUAGGCUUUGUCUGUGUCAGGUUUUUUUUUCAGGUGAUGGAGAGAGAGCAGGCAGAAGAGGGAGACUCACAAGAACAUCGCUGGAGAACAGCAGGUAGGGCUCUGUCAUUGCUGUCUACAGGUGCUUCCCAAAUCGCAUAUACACUAUUCUGUGCCAUU